rnacentral:lncRNA from 1 species
CAAUUUUUCAUUUCCAUCUUUUGUGCAACAGAGAAGCCUAAGACAUUACAUUUAUUCUAGAUCUUAGCUUGGUAGGAGGCAAGGUGAUGGCUCUGAGCCUGAAGUUGAAGAGAGGUGAGUAGGAGCUUGGAUCCUGUUCUGAUUCUUGUAUUGCUCAUUUUUGGUUAUGCCUAAUUCAUACUUCUUUCAUGUAACUUCUUUACUAAUGAAGUGGAAACUCAGGUGAUGGAAGAUUGGGUGGCACUGGCAAUCACUCUAUUCAUGUGUUUGUGCGGAGGAGGAGUCCUGAUGCCCCGAUAAGGAGUUGUGAACGGCUGGCGAUGGUCGGCGUCCGGCGAGGUAGAGGGAGGCCUAAGAGGUAUUAGGGAGAGGUGAUUAGGCAUGACAUGGCUAGAAUACGGGUU